CGAUAGCUCAGUCGGUAGAGCAGAGGAUUGAAAAUCCUCGUGUCGGUGGUUCGAUUCCGCCUCG
rnacentral:tRNA from 8 species